GGUAGAAUUCAUUAACAGCAGCUUUCCCCUAAUGCACUUAAAAGAAUCACAUACAAUAACUGAUGUUUCUAAUGGCUCAGCAUUGUGUCCCCAGCCGAGAACGAGGACAUGGUGUCCACAGACUUAAUUCCUGCCUGACUUGGAUUAAGCCUUCAGACUGCAUCACCACCUCCCCGAAGGCUCUCAGAAGCACCUGCUACUGAUAGCCUGGCAUUAAAUACUGUCUGCAAGGUUACACACUGAUGCUGACCUCCCAAUUCCUGGUAAUAAACAUGAUUGGCUCAAAAGAA